rnacentral:tRNA from 1 species
GGGGCCCUAGUAAAUAAAUUACAUAGUUCUGUCAGCACUAAAUUAUAGGCCUCAUAGCCUAUGAGCCUCA